rnacentral:rRNA from 1 species
GAUGAACGCUAGCGGCAGGCCUAAUACAUGCAAGUCGAACGAUACCAGAGAGCUUGCUUUCUGGGAAAGUGGCGCACGGGUGCGUAACGCGUAUGCAACCUACCUUAAUCAGGGGGAUAGCCUCUCGAAAGAGAGAUUAACACCGCAUAACAUCAUUUUACGGCAUCGUAGAAUGAUCAAAUAUUUAUAGGAUUAAGAUGGGCAUGCGUGACAUUAGCUAGUUGGUGAGGUAACGGCUCACCAAGGCUACGAUGUCUAGGGGAUCUGAGAGGAUGACCCCCCACACUGGUACUGAGACACGGACCAGACUCCUACGGGAGGCAGCAGUAAGGAAUAUUGGUCAAUGGAGGCAACUCUGAACCAGCCAUGCCGCGUGCAGGAAGACGGCCCUAUGGGUUGUAAACUGCUUUUAUACGGGAAUAAACCUCUCUACGUGUAGGGAGUUGAAUGUACUGUAAGAAUAAGCACCGGCUAACUUCGUGCCAGCCGCCGCAGUAA